UACGGAGGGUGCAAGCGUUAUCCGGAUUUAUUGGGUUUAAAGGGUCCGUAGGCGGGCUAAUAAGUCAGUAGUGAAAUCUUGUCGCUUAACGAUAAAACUGCUAUUGAUACUGUUAGUCUUGAGUGUAUUUGAAGUAGCUGGAAUGAGUAGUGUAGCGGUGAAAUGCAUAGAUAUUACUCAGAACACCAAUUGCGAAGGCAGGUUACUAAGAUACAACUGACGCUGAGGGACGAAAGCGUGGGGAGCGAACAGG
rnacentral:rRNA from 1 species